AUUGAACGCUGGCGGCAUGCCUUACACAUGCAAGUCGAACGGUAACGGGCCUUCGGGUGCCGACGAGUGGCGAACGGGUGAGUAAUGUAUCGGAACGUACCUUUCAGUGGGGGAUAACGUAGCGAAAGUUACGCUAAUACCGCAUAUUCUGUGCGCAGGAAAGCAGGGGACCUUCGGGCCUUGCGCUGAUUGAGCGGCCGAUAUCAGAUUAGCUAGUUGGUGAGGUAAAGGCUCACCAAGGCGACGAUCUGUAGCGGGUCUGAGAGGAUGAUCCGCCACACUGGAACUGAGACACGGUCCAGACUCCUACGGGAGGCAGCAGUGGGGAAUUUUGGACAAUGGGGGCAACCCUGAUCCAGCCAUGCCGCGUGAGUGGAGAAGGCCUUCGGGUUGUAAAGCUCUUUCGGCCGGGAAGAAAUCGUAUCAGCUAAUACCUGGUGCGGAUGACGGUACCGGCAUAAGAAGCACCGGCUAACUACGUGCCAGCCGCCGCAGUAAUAC
rnacentral:rRNA from 1 species